AUUGAACGCUGGCGGCAGGCCUAACACAUGCAAGUCGAGCGAGCGGCGGACGGGUGAGUAAUGUAUGGGGACUGCCCGAUAGAGGGGGAUAACUACUGGAAACGGUAGCUAAUACCGCAUACUAUCGGAUAACCCAUAUGGGAUUAGCUAGUAGGUGAGGUAAUGGCUCACCUAGGCGACGAUCCCUAGCUGGUCUGAGAGGAUGAUCAGCAAAAUGGGGACUGGAAAACGGCCCAGACUCCUACGGAGGAAGCAGGGGGGAAUAUUGGACAAGGGGCGCAAGCCUGAUGCAGCCAGGCCGCGGGGAUGAAGAAGGCCCUAGGGUUGUAAAGUACUUUAAGUCGGGAGGCGUUACCGACAGAAGAAGCAACGGCUAACUCCGUGCCAGCAGCCGCGGUAAUAC
rnacentral:rRNA from 1 species